rnacentral:rRNA from 1 species
GACUAACGCUGGCGGCGUGCCUAACACAUGCAAGUCGAACGAUUCUUUGAUUUAUAGCAAUAUUUAUUAAAGAGGAGUGGCGAACGGGUGAGUAACACGUAGAUAAUCUGCCUUUCAGACGGGGACAACUCAGGGAAACUUGUGCUAAUACCCGAUGAGACCACAAGAAGGGAUUUUUGUGGCCAAAGGCGGGCAGCAAUGCUCGUGCUGAAAGAUGAGUCUGCGUCCUAUCAGCUAGUUGGUGGGGUAAAUGCCUACCAAGGCUAAGACGGGUAGCCGGCCUGAGAGGGUGAACGGCCACACUGGGACUGAGACACGGCCCAGACUCCUACGGGAGGCAGCAGUGAGGAAUUUUCCGCAAUGGGCGCAAGCCUGACGGAGCGACGCCGCGUGAGGGAUGACAGCUUUCGGGUUGUAAACCUCUUUUAUUAAGGUAAAAGAUCUAUAUGCUAAUAUCAUGUAGAUUUGAUGGUACUUAUUGAAUAAGCCCCGGCUAAACG